CAAGUCCGAUGGAAGUUUGAGGCAAUAACAGGUCUGUGAUGCCCUUAGACGUUCUGGGCCGCACGCGCGCUACACUGACGGAGCCAGCGAGUCUAACCUGUGCCGAGAGGUAUGGGUAAUCUUGUGAAACUCCGUCGUGCUGGGGAUAGAGCAUUGCAAUUAUUGCUCUUCAACGAGGAAUUCCUAGUAAGCGCAAGUCAUCAGCUUGCGUUGAUUACGUCCCUGCCCUUUGUACACACCGCCCGUCGCUACUACCGAUUGAAUGGCUCGGCCCGUGCCCCCGCCCCGCCCGCCG
rnacentral:rRNA from 1 species